rnacentral:tRNA from 4 species
CGGAAGUGGCUCAGUGGUAGAGCAUCGCCUUGCCAAGGCGAGGGUCGCGAGUUCAAAUCUCGUCUUCCG